rnacentral:rRNA from 1 species
UACGAAGGGGGCUAGCGUUGUUCGGAUUUACUGGGCGUAAAGCGCACGUAGGCGGAUUGGUCAGUUAGGGGUGAAAUCCUGGAGCUCAACUCCAGAACUGCCUUUAAUACUGCCAGUCUCGAGUCCGGAAGAGGUAAGUGGAACUCCUAGUGUAGAGGUGGAAUUCGUAGAUAUUAGGGAAGAACACCAGUGGCGAAGGCGGCUUACUGGUCCGGUACUGACGCUGAGGUGCGAAAGCGUGGGGAGCGAACAGG